CUUCUAUUCUAUCGAAUUUAUCAAUGCGUAAAUAACUAUAUUUUUUAAUUCGGUCAUAAGUAUGAAUAUGUAUACACGAUUAAUACAAUAGCGUAUUACAAAUAGAAAAAUCUAUCAUUAUCAUUAGAGGAUAAUUUGUUACAAUUUCCUACUUCGUUAAAUUAACAUUCAUUUAUUUUGUUAUCACUGCAAAAUGUGAAAGUGAAUAGGCUUCAAGAGGUUUUUAUCCGUUUAUAGCUGCACAACUACAACGGUGUACUAGCGCGUUUUAAAGGAAACUGAUGUGUCCCGUUUCACGUAACGUCUUCAUAAAAGAAUAUUUCUCAUGGAGCUUUGACGUGUAAGAAAAUAUGGAGCACGAUAUAAAAUGAUACAUGGAUUUUGAACAAUGCUUCGUGGUAUACCUACGGUAGGCAAUUAAGAAGGCGCAUGCGUAACAAUACGCGCGCAACUCCAUGAAAAACAGCGCGUUAUUUUAAACAGGUAUAUUUGCAGACACAAAGUAUCACGGUUAUUAAAUAUGCUUUUUAUUUUACCUAUUAGUAAAUAUGUGCGUUUCUGGACGGGAGGGUGACAAAACCACUUGAUUGCCACCCGAUGGUGCUUCGCUUUCCUGAGAUUCAAAUUUGUACAUCUCAGGUUGAGAUAGUGUUUCGGUCUCAGCAGGAGUACGCAUUCUCGUUUAUCAUUUGGUACUCUAAUUCUGAAACAAAAUUCAAUGAUGUAUCAAAUAAGCUGCUCAUUUUUUUGACACUGGUUAAAUUUUCGAUAAAUCUAUCGUUACUUGUCUCGUCGCCGCGUGUAUACCGGGGAGUAGUGUUACCAGGAAUGAAGACCGGACGAAAAAGAAAUCACCUUUGGCAUAACAUAGGGAGGUUGGGUUCAAUGGAAUGUCGAUCUAGUAAGAGGCGUGGUAUGUGGCGGUCACAUACCAAACUUAACCGUGAUUUUAUUUUUCGUGCAAAUUCCUUAAGUCACUGACUUCCAUUAUUUCCAUAUACAUAAUGAGAAAUAAAUGAGCAGGGUUAGGUAACGAGAAAUAAGACAUAAUUAGAACUAAACCAUACUUUGAACAAAUUUUACUAAGGAGUUUUAACAAAAUUAUAAAUAACACUCUUUUAGUUAUAUGAUGUUUAAUGAAUACAAUGUAACAAAGUUACAGAAUAAAUUAACCAAAAAUCUAACCGGCUCAAAAAAGAAAUGUCUAUAAUGCGUACUGGUUCAACCGCGGAACCCUUUCGCUCCGUGAAAGAAAAAAAGAAUAUGGAGUUUUGUAUAGUGAGUCAUUCGUAGGCGUGUCUUGGAUUAAUCCCAAGCACCUGUGUCCAUGUCUAGGUAAGCUCUAACUUCCUAGUAAUAACCCCUGAAACCUUCUAAAUCUUCUAGCGGCAACUUGCUCCCUACGCAAACGGUAAUGACUCUGAUAAUCGUUAUCGUUUCAAUUACAUAUUUUCAGAUUAUGCAAAAUUAUAUUAUAAAUCAUUAAAAGCUCGUUAUACCAAAUGUAUCUUACUGUAUAAUUGCAACUGUGAAUUUUUGUCCAUACAGCGAAGGGGUUGAAAAUUUUGCAGACUUAACAAAUCGAUGUUCUAAAAGAGUGAACACGUUGCACCCUUCGUUUCUCAGACUACGCUCUUAUGAGUAAAGUUGGGGAAGAACGAAUCGUAAUGAGAGGGGUGUUUGUCUCUUCCGAUUUGUCGCUUUAUUGACCACCAUACUGAACAUAUUAAGACGUGGUAUACUGUAAAAUAGAUCAGAUUAUGUUAUUAUAGAAGGGGAUGACUAACGCAAAGCGACAAAUUUAAUAAGGGUAACUGAAUAUACUAUGUCUCACCCCCAAUACCCUUUAUUCAUCCUUUCUUUUCAUGGUCAUGGUUUUCAGGACUAGGAACGCGUUUACUUAUUUACGUGAACACACCCUCGCUUCGGUCAAACGAACACGACCCCUUCAAAAGAGAUGCAACGAAGGUUAGACGCGGAAGAAAUUUUUGCUUGAAAUGUUACGAAGAAAUUGUGUAGAAAUACUAAUGCAUCGGAUACAUUUAUACAUAUAAAGAUAAAAUAUUAAAUGCAGAAAGCAUUUUCGCUAGAGUAAUACGAUCUACACAGUUUUCCUGCACCUCCUAGCAUUGAAAUCACCCGAUAAAUUCAGUGAUCGCAAUGCUGUCUAUGGAAUCACGGUGAUCGGUAACUUGUAACUUACUUUGAAAUAAUCAGUGUUUUAUCGUGAAUAUUUCGAAGAUAAUUCUUACUACAUCUGUGAAUUAUUUUCUAUUUGAAUACCAGCGAAACGAAAUCCAAUAUAAUUCACCUGUUCAAGGACAUUUCUGUAAGGCAGUAACAAGAAAUAUUGUAGGAAAAGACUUACAUAAUUAUUAUUUAAAGAUAAGUAAUCUCCGUUAAUAUAAGUUUUUCAUGAAAAUAUGAAUUUCACUUUGAACUUUACGGUCCAUAAAGAUAAACAAAAAUUAAACGUGAAAGUUUCCUGUAAAAUUACUCUAGUACCAGUACUCUACAUUAACACUUUACUGGUUCGAUGACUAUUUGAAUCAUUACGAAAUGCUAUUAAGAAUGUGCAAUAAUCUUAUGCAACAUUAAUGUUAUCCGUAACGAAGAUCUUUUUAUUUCCCAUUUAAUCAAUUAUUUCGGUAGUCCACUUGUUCGCGAUGUUAGACCCUUUUCAAGGAUAUCUUUUUCUCAUUCAUGCGAAAACAAUAGACCCAUCUAUUAAAGAGGUAAUCGGAGUAUAGUUGAAAGCGCCCGACUGUUUGGGCUCAGUGACGCUUCAAUCUGUGCAACGCUGCGAGAGAGUAGUACGAAACGUGUGCCUCUGCGACGGACGCAAUGAGAUCCGUACCCAAUGCAGAACGAUCAGGAACGAGCUUUCACUUUCCUCGAACGGCUUGCACAAGCGAAACACUACAGUAGUUAGGGAGUACAACAUUUAUCAUGAAAAAAGAAAAAAAAGUCGAGUUAAAAGUAUUAAGUAUAGGUCUCGUGAAAUUUGUAGAAGAGAGAAGAACGCGAAACUCUGGUGUUUGAAAAUGGGGAAGAGGAAAGAGUAUGGGAGAGACGCUUUAUCGAUUAAGCACAGUCAACCCCUCUUUUCUUACCUGUAGAAAAAAAAUCUGCCGAUGUAGACGGCAAUAGCCACGAUUCCCUAUAAAAUAUCCAUGUAAUUGUAACUGGCGCCAUGCAUUUGCAAAAGUUUUUUUCAACUAUCGAGUCUGACACUGUGGACAUGAGAGUCCUCGACUCUCAAAAAACUGAUCCUUGUGUACCGCGUCACGAUAAUCAUGCAGAAAAAUAUACAUAUAUUGCACUGAUUUAAUUGAAACACUAUUGUACACGUUUAGUUGCAAGCAAGCUCAAAUAAUCGCGAAUAUAUUCUUGUUGACUGUCGCGAAAACAACCCUACACCACCCCGACGCACGACGCGUCCAGCGAACACUAAACAAAAUGGCGCGUACCAUUUUGUCUACAGCUUCGACACCAGAGUGCGCCUGCUUUCUGUGUGAGUGUAAAGGAUAUUGUUCUCUCCUGACAGAGGGGACAAAGUACCGAACAGGUUCGUCUAUUCAAACUACGCCUCUUGGUAUUCGAGUCGCAUACGCAUACGAACUGCGUAUUGUAUUGCAUGUGUGAGCGGGGCGCAGGUUUGCAGGGACGAACAUAUAUUUUUCGGAAUAUCUACGAAAUCUCUGCACCUUCAAUUUUACAUAUUCCUUUUAUAAAAGUUCGAUUAAUUCAUCGAAUAUUAUUAGAUCAGAGUUACAAACAGUAACACAGGUAUUAUUAUAAUAUUUAAUAAUAAUCUAGUGACGAUUAAUACCGUUUAAAAAAAUAAUAGGUUUGUCCCUGUACACAUUAGAUGGCGCCACUGCUUCAACCCCGUAAUACGAAAAAUCGCUAAUUCAAAGCUCCGAAAUAUUACGUUCUCAUUUCUGUGUAGGAAGAAAAUAGAUUUUAUCAAUUCUAAAACUGCUUCAUAUAUUUUGAAAGGUAUCAUUAAAUGAUAUACGGACAAUUCUUCUCUUCUUUUUAUUAGCUACACACACUAUUGUUAGAUUUCGAAGAGUGGGGCAUACUUAAAGGUACUCAAUAGUCAGGAUAUACAGUGGGGGCGAAAAAGGGACAGCAAACGAGUUUCUAACAAUCGUAGAUGUAUGUAUGUACCUGUAACGCUUGACCGAUGUUAGAAAACGAUUUGGAAAAUGCAUCUGUGUUGAAAACCUUAUGUAUCUACGACAGAACAUUACGUUUAAAAAUUAAAAAGAAUACAUAUUUGUUUGUAUUGUUUCAUAGAAUUUGGCUGCCCCUUUGCACAGGCGCAGAAGCACUUUCUUAUAUUGUAUGUAUGUACAGUACCUGCAGAUACAAAAAGACUAUACAUACAUGCCUUUCUUCUUGAGGAGUCCUGAUUUUGGGGUCCCGGACACCCCCCAGGUGAAGCUUGAUCUACAUGAGGAGAGCACAGUCAGUAUAACAAUCGUGCCUGUUUCACGAGUUCCUCUUUUACCACACUUGGCACAGACAACUAAAAGGACACAAUUUGGAUUCCCUUCCAUUCCCUUCCAAUAAUUGUUUGACAAACCUGUAUAUUAGUAUAGUAGUAUAGAUCGCCUGUAUAGAUUAGUAUUGCUGUAUAUCAUGCGGCUUGGUAAAUAAAU